UCUUUUAUUUAAAGGAGAAUGUACUUACAUUUUUCCAAGGGGAAAAAAUAACCAAAAGGAUGUUGAAGAUAUUGAAAAGUAUUGUCAAGAAUUUUUAUGUUUUACUGGAAGCCAGCUAUAAUGAAACAAGUUUUUUUUUCUUGAACUCAUAUCUGAAUCUGCUCAACUCACACAUAUUAGCCUAUGAAAACUGAUCCUUUUUGUUUUGUAAAGGAAUUUGCCGUCACUGGUUGGGUUGUUAUGAGUAGCUUUUUGCCCGUAACGAGAGCUUUAUCAAACAAUCCUUACCAAGACGUGCAAUGCUAACCACAGGCAUCAUCUGUUCACAGGCUGGAAGACUUACACUUUUUGUUUUUAAAGAGAUGAAGACAACAAUCAGGGAUAUAAGCCAGUGUGUGUGACCCCUGGAGCACUUGAGAAGUUCUUGGCAAAUUUAUUUUUGGAAUAGAGAAAGAGAAAUUACUGUCCAGAAAUAGAUUAUUUUAAGCCUUUUUUUAAUUGAAUAAAAGGGGUUUAAACAGAGCCAAGAAUUUUCUAUUAGGAUUGGAGGGGUCUCCCCCAUCUCUUUGAGAGCCAACACUGGAAGACGUUCUCUUAUCUUGGGAGUUGACAUUGUCUAUGUUUUUAUUUUUUUUGGCAUCUAUUAAUGCCCAGAGUCAUUCAUCAGAUUCUAGGGCUUGGUUACUCAUUGGCUUCUCACAGUCUUUGUUGAACUAUUAGCAGAGAAGUCAGUAGAUAUCCAGCAUCUCUCCUACACUGAGCCCAGCUGUCUUUAGCAUUGGCUUGUUGAGUCAGUAAGAUGAAGAUAUUCUUUGCCAUCUUGUUGGCCAGUCAGGUUGGACUGCUAAGUGGGUGCCAACUGCCCCAUGACUGGAGACCACAAACCGAAUCCUGCAGAGCUGAGCUGGUGGAAACCGUUGUGUUUGCCAAAGUUCUGGCCCUCCACAAAGACAGCUACAGCGUAUACAACUACCUACCUUGGCAAUACAAUUCUGAUCUCUUCUUCUCAGCAGAGAUUGAGCUGCUGUGUGACCAGGCCUGGGGGAGUAUGCUGGAGGUACCUGCUGGAUCCAGGCUCAAUGUGACAGGAAUGGGCUACUUUCCUUGUCACUCCUACACCGUCAUGGAAAACAACUCUUAUUACUUCUUUUUAAGAAUGGAUGAAAACUAUAACAUUCUACCUCAUGGGGUGAAUUUUCAGGAUCCUAUAUUUCCAGACACACCAGAAAACCACAGAAUGUUUGCAAGUCUUUUCCAGUUCUCGAAUUGCUCAGCUGGGGUAGAUCCUCAGAUAUUUAACCCAGACUGGGAAGCUCAGGAAGAUCACAGGCUGCUGUGCAGUGCAGUGCAGAGGGCUUUGCUGGAGGAAGAGGAAAGAGUUAAAAAUUUAUCCCAGAAGGUCCGGUUCCUUGAAAAAGCCAACGGGCACCUCCGUGAAAAAGUGAAGAACCUCAAACGUGCUCUUCGCCAAACCAGUAUGGAGAACAAGAAAGAUGCACUCCUGGCCAAACGUCUUCUGGAAAAAGAGAAAAGUCUUGAUGAGGAAGGCCAACAGCUUGAAAACCACAAGAAGAUCUAUGCCAGACCAGCUAAGAAACCCACAGGGAACAGGAUGGACUAAACUUGAUUUCCCAGAACCUCAGAGCCACACUGGCUCCAAAAACAUUUCACUUAUUACCAAUGAGGGGACAUUUGAGACCUUCAAAGUCAUCAUUGAGAUGGGUCUGUAGACCUGUAAGCAGAAGAUAUCUCCUGAGCUUUGGUCAAAUAGUGUCUGAAAUUGGAAAAAGAAAAUAUCUCAGGUUGACCUCUUCAUACAAUCAUCAGUUCCUACUUUUACUUCCAAAGAGACAUGAUAGUAGCAGCAAAUGGUUAUUUUGAGUAGUUUAACUGAUUAUUAUUGUAUACUAAAUGGAAAUCAUAUACACAAAAACCCUUCUUAUACUUACAUGAUAAUAUGAUGACUUUGGCCCAUCAACAGUCCAUAGGUGCUUGAAGUAAGGCUGGACUGGUUUUGUCGUUUGACUCACACCUCUCAGCUCCUGGUAAUUGGUCAUGACUUUCCAUAAAACAUCCAGUACUAUAUACAUGUUACAAAGUGCACGCUCACUUAGUCACUGCAUAAACCAAAGUCAUUAGUCACAAACACAAAAAGGAGAGCCGCACUAUACUUCCAAUAUUGAUUUAUUCACAAAUAGAAAAGUGAUGUUUCAGGACACAGCCCUUAAUCAUGAUUGGUUAUCCCAUGCCAACAUCACUUCUGUGACUGCUUCAUUUCUCUAGCAGAGGUCUUUAGUCUGCCAUAUAUGUUUGUGUCUAGAUAGAAAAGAUACCAAAACUCUUGCAACAAGCGGUAUACGUUUGGAGAGUUCCUGUGUAUUUUCAAAAUGAUCUAAUGUUAGAUAAAGGGAUAUGAAACCCAAAAAUGUUCUUUCAUGAUUCAGAUAGAGAAUACAAUUUUAAACAGCAUUCCAAUUUACUUAAUUCUUUAGGUAUCCUUGAAGAAAUCACAAUGCACAUGGAUGAGCCAAUCACACGAGGCAUCUAUGUACAGCAACCAAUCACCAGCUACUGAGCCUAUUAAGAUAUGCUUAUUUUUUUCCCUGCAUAUUUUUGUGUGAAUGGUUCAAUUAUUCGCUUUGUCAGAUUUUUUAAAUAUAUUUUUUUGUGCACUUUUGUAAUGUUUGCAUCUUCUCCCCAUACAAAAAUGCAGUAUACGCCCCUUAGCAAGACACACUGUUGUCAGGGUAAAAAGUGGCUUUAGAUCAUUCCACCAGGGAAAUAAAAGUACUGCCGACCAUUCUUAUAUAAUCUCGCCAGCCCAGAGGGCUUUAGAUCAUCGGGCCCUAAGUGCUUUAGUAAACAAAAAUAUAGAAUAUCAGAUAUACCCUUAUGAUUAUAACCGAUAAAAAGACAACUUUGUGACACAGUUUUAUUUUGUUUUUAAAGUGAUAAUAUCGUUUAUACCAGAGCGUGACAAACCCAGCAGCCAGGGAGCCACUGGCUCCUAGAAUUAUACCCCUAUCUUAUAACUUUUUGAAUUAUUUUCCAUGUAUCGAUAUACAAAUACCACUGUCUGGCUCCCAAAUAUAUAUUUUUUAUGUAUUAGUUUCAUGACUCUAGGCCAUUGUCUUUUUUAUUGUAAGAACACAGAGUUGUUCAUUUAAAGGGACACUGAACCCAAACAUUUUCUUUCGUGAUUCAGAUAGAGCAUGCAAUUUUAAGCAACUUUCUAAUUUACUCCUAUUAUCAAUUUUUCUUCGUUCUCUUGCUAUCUUUAUUUGAAAAAUUAGGAAUCUAUGCUAAGAAGCCAGCCAAUUUUGGUUAAACAUUGGACAGCACUUGUUUAUUGGUGGGUAAAUCAGCAAGAACAACCCAGGUUGUUCACCAAAAUUGGGCCAGCAUCUAAACUUACAUUCUUGCUUUUCAAAUAAAGAUACCAAGAGAAUGACAAAAAUUUGAUAAUAGGAGUAAAUUAGAAAG